GCACAAUAUGACAUGGUUCACCAUUUUCGCGACUCUUCUGAUCGUACAAUCCGGCAUUUCGGAUGUUGUGAUAUACGGAGAACUACGUAGGUCAGUGAAACUUUCUGCGAGUACUGAAGUCCUCGGAGAAAUUAAAAACUGUGUAAUAGAAACGAACAUUGGUGACAAAUAUAUGUUUAGCCCUGGUGUCGGUUCAAUGGGUGAUAGAAAUGUUACUAUCAUCGCAAAUUAUCUCGAUUGUAGCGUCCUUCUGUAUUUACCGAGUGCGGAAUUCGCCGGUGAAUGGAAAAUAACAUCGUAUUUUCAAGAGGAUAACCAUCCACCUGUUACGAAUAAAUUCAAGAUAAUUGUAAAAAAGGAAACUAGAGUGGUACCUGACUAUAUAUGGAUAAACACCGAUUAUUUUAUUCAUGCCGAGCUUGAUUUGAAUGGAAAAAAUGUCACAAAUUGCACGCUGCUUACUCCGACCUCUCAGGAGAUCGAUCUACUGAACGAUGGCACAAAGAAUUUGCGAAGAUUCGGACGGUGCGGAUUUCGAGCUUUGGUGAAUGAUAAGAGUCAAAAUAUAUGGAAACUCAAAGCAUUCGUCGAAGAAGAUAAGAUUUUUUACACUGGCGGCGUCGAUGUAAAUGUCUUCAACAAAGAAAAAAAGACAGAAGAAGAAAUAACUAUCACGUUAAAUCUUGGCACAAGCGGCACCGUGAGCUUACCUGUCUACAGAACGAUUAUCUUUUGCCAACUGGAAGAUCCAAUGGGUUUAAAAACACCCUUUUUUGACUCCUGUGUCUACCACAUACCUGUAGUUACACCUCGUCACCAAGGUGUCUGGAUCGCGCGUUACGGCGGAAUGGAACAUCCAGUUCCUACUGUUCAACGCUUCAGGGUUGUUACACGUGAUCCGGUAAGUUCUGGUAGCAACGUUAUUGUGACAGAAAAUAAGGAAAUUCGGCUGUCCUGUCACAUUUAUGACGAAGUUCCAAUGUCGUUUAAGUUCUGUCACUUCGUUAGACCAGAUGAAUAUGUAUUGAACUUGAGGAAUGGCAUCGGAACAGAGGGUUACAGUAGCUUUAAUACUUUCGAGGCAAAUAAUACACAUAUAUACUGUGGUUUGAUUAUCCAUGAACCAAAACAACAUGAUUACGGAGCUUGGAAGUGUAAUGUAAAAUUACAAGGUAAUCGAUACCGCGGUUCGAUAAUUUACGUUGAUCCACGUAUAAUGAGUAGAAACGAAACACAAAAUGCCACCAGAGAAUUUCAUAUUGUUACAGAAAAUGUGUACGUGAAGCGCAACGAUUUCUUUCAGAUUAAAUGCACCGUGGAUGCGGUUUUGGAUUACUGUUGGUUCCGAAGCCCUAAUGGUACGUUUUACACUGUUAUUCCAAACCAAAGACAAUCCCCUGCGAACCUCUUUUAUGUGGGAUUGGGAUUUAAUUUUGGCGACUGUGUCGCUGCAAUUGAUCGUGCUUCUUACACGGAUCAUGGAGAAUGGACUUGUAACGUAGGCAUUGUUGAUGGCCCGGAGGAGAGUAAAACGGUCCUCGUAAACGUCACAGAAAGCUACGUUAUCCCAGAACGUACAGAGUUAGUGGCUAACUACAAAGAGGAUACAAUCUUGUCCUGUAAUAUACUUCCAAAUAUAACGGAUAAAGAUAUUCAUUAUUGCCGUUGGGUCCGUCCGGAUGGACACGGAAUACACCACAGCUUAGGUCCCCGAUACACUACCAACCGUAGUAACACCGGAUGCAAAUUAAUGAUUGCAGAACUUGACGAGCACAUGCUGGUGUAUUUGGUGCUUGACGCAAGCAGGUGCACUCGACGCGCUGAUAUUUCGUGUGUUAACCCUGCAUCACUCAGUCCCGUGUUAAGCCAGAUCCAUCUAACCGAUAUAUCUCUUCAUCUAGCAUUUCUUUCUUUCGUUUCCUGUUGCUUCUCAAUCCAGAUCCUCCCUGUAGAAUCUGGCGCGUGCACCCUGUUCCCUCGAUGUGCACGAGUUGGGAAGUUGGAGCAUCCCAGAAUACAUGGAAAGAGCAAGAGAGAAAGCUAAGAGCAUCCUAAUCGCAUCUUAAUCUAGUCGAGGAUGCAGAGGACUCUGUUUGAUCCAUAGGACCUUUGGCUCGAAGGGACAGCAGUUAGGAUCAACCUAGAGCCACGCCUCCUCCAUCUGCAAGGGCUAAGCCAGGGUUUCAUCCCUUGCACGUAAAACUAAGUCUCGAAAUAAUUCAAUAACCACGAUAGUAAGCAACGCCCUUGGUUCUAUACCUCUCUCUCACUCUUUCUCAUUUAUCUUUAUUCACUUGCCAUGACUGACUCGUAUUCGACGCGAGCUGAAUUACUGGCUUCACUCCCUCGAACAGUUCCACGUCCCUCGAGAUGGAUUCGAUGCUAAUACCGACCGACUAAUUGCACGCUACUAAGAAUCGAACAGGAACGCUGUUCGACAGCGCGCAACGAGCCAGUGACGGAUCGUGUCAACCGAUUCAUCCUUCAAAGGGGAUCGUUGGUCGCUUAUGAGACGCGACACCGAUCGCGUUCAAUCGUUUUCUUUCCCUGAAACAUUAGAUCAACCGGGAAGUUCUGCUCGUUUUAUGAUCUUUGAUAUUUUUCAGUCUUACGCUUCAUGAUGAACAACGACCACUGCGUCGUGUUUGCUGAGAAACUUGGAUCACACAUGGCUGUCCAGUGAGGAGUUCAACAAACUCUGCAUCUCUGAACAACCAUUCAUCCGAAUGAAAAUGUUAUUUCUUCGACGAGCACUGCGAGUAUCCAUGCAUCAGACGGAAC